rnacentral:rRNA from 1 species
GGGUUGUGAGGUUAAGCGACUAAGCGUACACGGUGGAUGCCCUGGCAGUCAGAGGCGAUGAAGGACGUGCUAAUCUGCGAUAAGCGUCGGUAAGGUGAUAUGAACCGUUAUAACCGGCGAUUUCCGAAUGGGGAAACCCAGUGUGUUUCGACACACUAUCAUUAACUGAAUCCAUAGGUUAAUGAGGCGAACCGGGGGAACUGAAACAUCUAAGUACCCCGAGGAAAAGAAAUCAACCGAGAUUCCCCCAGUAGCGGCGAGCGAACGGGGAGGAGCCCAGAGCCUGAAUCAGUGUGUGUGUUAGUGGAAGCGUCUGGAAAGGCGCGCGAUACAGGGUGACAGCCCCGUACACAAAAAUGCACAUACUGUGAGCUCGAUGAGUAGGGCGGGACACGUGGUAUCCUGUCUGAAUAUGGGGGGACCAUCCUCCAAGGCUAAAUACUCCUGACUGACCGAUAGUGAACCAGUACCGUGAGGGAAAGGCGAAAAGAACCCCGGCGAGGGGAGUGAAAAAGAACCUGAAACCGUGUACGUACAAGCAGUGGGAGCACGCUUCGGCGUGUGACUGCGUACCUUUUGUAUAAUGGGUCAGCGACUUAUAUUCUGUAGCAAGGUUAACCGAAUAGGGGAGCCGAAGGGAAACCGAGUCUUAACUGGGCGUUAAGUUGCAGGGUAUAGACCCGAAACCCGGUGAUCUAGCCAUGGGCAGGUUGAAGGUUGGGUAACACUAACUGGAGGACCGAACCGACUAAUGUUGAAAAAUUAGCGGAUGACUUGUGGCUGGGGGUGAAAGGCCAAUCAAACCGGGAGAUAGCUGGUUCUCCCCGAAAGCUAUUUAGGUAGCGCCUCGUGAAUUCAUCUCCGGGGGUAGAGCACUGUUUCGGCAAGGGGGUCAUCCCGACUUACCAACCCGAUGCAAACUGCGAAUACCGGAGAAUGUUAUCACGGGAGACACACGGCGGGUGCUAACGUCCGUCGUGAAGAGGGAAACAACCCAGACCGCCAGCUAAGGUCCCAAAGUCAUGGUUAAGUGGGAAACGAUGUGGGAAGGCCCAGACAGCCAGGAUGUUGGCUUAGAAGCAGCCAUCAUUUAAAGAAAGCGUAAUAGCUCACUGGUCGAGUCGGCCUGCGCGGAAGAUGUAACGGGGCUAAACCAUGCACCGAAGCUGCGGCAGCGACACUGUGUGUUGUUGGGUAGGGGAGCGUUCUGUAAGCCUGCGAAGGUGUGCUGUGAGGCAUGCUGGAGGUAUCAGAAGUGCGAAUGCUGACAUAAGUAACGAUAAAGCGGGUGAAAAGCCCGCUCGCCGGAAGACCAAGGGUUCCUGUCCAACGUUAAUCGGGGCAGGGUGAGUCGACCCCUAAGGCGAGGCCGAAAGGCGUAGUCGAUGGGAAACAGGUUAAUAUUCCUGUACUUGGUGUUACUGCGAAGGGGGGACGGAGAAGGCUAUGUUGGCCGGGCGACGGUUGUCCCGGUUUAAGCGUGUAGGCUGGUUUUCCAGGCAAAUCCGGAAAAUCAAGGCUGAGGCGUGAUGACGAGGCACUACGGUGCUGAAGCAACAAAUGCCCUGCUUCCAGGAAAAGCCUCUAAGCAUCAGGUAACAUCAAAUCGUACCCCAAACCGACACAGGUGGUCAGGUAGAGAAUACCAAGGCGCUUGAGAGAACUCGGGUGAAGGAACUAGGCAAAAUGGUGCCGUAACUUCGGGAGAAGGCACGCUGAUAUGUAGGUGAAGUCCCUCGCGGAUGGAGCUGAAAUCAGUCGAAGAUACCAGCUGGCUGCAACUGUUUAUUAAAAACACAGCACUGUGCAAACACGAAAGUGGACGUAUACGGUGUGACGCCUGCCCGGUGCCGGAAGGUUAAUUGAUGGGGUCAGCGCAAGCGAAGCUCUUGAUCGAAGCCCCGGUAAACGGCGGCCGUAACUAUAACGGUCCUAAGGUAGCGAAAUUCCUUGUCGGGUAAGUUCCGACCUGCACGAAUGGCGUAAUGAUGGCCAGGCUGUCUCCACCCGAGACUCAGUGAAAUUGAACUCGCUGUGAAGAUGCAGUGUACCCGCGGCAAGACGGAAAGACCCCGUGAACCUUUACUAUAGCUUGACACUGAACAUUGAGCCUUGAUGUGUAGGAUAGGUGGGAGGCUUAGAAGUGUGGACGCCAGUCUGCAUGGAGCCGACCUUGAAAUACCACCCUUUAAUGUUUGAUGUUCUAACGUUGACCCGUAAUCCGGGUUGCGGACAGUGUCUGGUGGGUAGUUUGACUGGGGCGGUCUCCUCCUAAAGAGUAACGGAGGAGCACGAAGGUUGGCUAAUCCUGGUCGGACAUCAGGAGGUUAGUGCAAUGGCAUAAGCCAGCUUGACUGCGAGCGUGACGGCGCGAGCAGGUGCGAAAGCAGGUCAUAGUGAUCCGGUGGUUCUGAAUGGAAGGGCCAUCGCUCAACGGAUAAAAGGUACUCCGGGGAUAACAGGCUGAUACCGCCCAAGAGUUCAUAUCGACGGCGGUGUUUGGCACCUCGAUGUCGGCUCAUCACAUCCUGGGGCUGAAGUAGGUCCCAAGGGUAUGGCUGUUCGCCAUUUAAAGUGGUACGCGAGCUGGGUUUAGAACGUCGUGAGACAGUUCGGUCCCUAUCUGCCGUGGGCGCUGGAGAACUGAGGGGGGCUGCUCCUAGUACGAGAGGACCGGAGUGGACGCAUCACUGGUGUUCGGGUUGUCAUGCCAAUGGCACUGCCCGGUAGCUAAAUGCGGAAGAGAUAAGUGCUGAAAGCAUCUAAGCACGAAACUUGCCCCGAGAUGAGUUCUCCCUGACUCCUUGAGAGUCCUGAAGGAACGUUGAAGACGACGACGUUGAUAGGCCGGGUGUGUAAGCGCAGCGAUGCGUUGAGCUAACCGGUACUAAUGAACCGUGAGGCUUAACCUUACAACGCCGAAG